GAUCACACUUUUAAAUGAUUAAAAAAUAAUUUUAUUCGAGUUUUUAGAAUUGUUCAAUAUAUUUUCAUGGUACCAGCAUCGUGACGUUAAGUUUUAGCGUCCGUAAAGUCAAUCAAAUGUUAGCGGUUGCGUACAUUACAAAUGCCUUUAGUAAGUGGGCAGCAACGAACUUGAUUCAUCUAUUGGGAAGAAACAAAAAUUGAUUUCACCCGCUGAAGUCAUAAAUAUCCAAUCACACUUUUCGCUUACGCUUAUGGUUGUCACGUCAUUGGAUUCGAAUUGACUUCUGUCUGGCUGGCUGCUAACACUAAGACUUGAAGUUCCAAUGCAGGAUGAUUUUGCAAAAUGUAAGAGUAGAAGUCUGGCUUUGAUUCCUAAGCGGCUCAAAAUGCGGCAAAGUAGAAAAAAGACGAAGACAAAGAUAAAGAUGAAGAUAUGAAGAUGAACGGAG